rnacentral:rRNA from 1 species
GCGUAAGCGCGCGUAGGCGGCUAAUUAAGUCAAAUGUGAAAUCCCCGAGCUUAACUUGGGAAUUGCAUUCGAUACUGGUUAGCUAGAGUGUGGGAGAGGAUGGUAGAAUUCCAGGUGUAGCGGUGAAAUGCGUAGAGAUCUGGAGGAAUACCGAUGGCGAAGGCAGCCAUCUGGCCUAACACUGACGCUGAGGUGCGAAAGCAUGGGGAGCAAACAGGAUUAGAUACCCUGGUAGUCCAUGCCGUAAACGAUGUCUACUAGCCGUUGGGGCCUUUGAGGCUUUAGUGGCGCAGCUAACGCGAUAAGUAGACCGCCUGGGGAGUACGGUCGCAAGACUAAAACUCAAAUGAAUUGACGGGGGCCCGCACAAGCGGUGGAGCAUGUGGUUUAAUUCGAUGCAACGCGAAGAACCUUACCUGGCCUUGACAUAGUAAGAACUUUCCACAUAUGGAUUGGUGCCUUCGGAAACUUACAUACAGGUGCUGCAUGGCUG